rnacentral:rRNA from 1 species
CCAAGGGUGGCGGACGGGUGAGUAACGCGUAAAGAACUUGCCCCCCAGUCUGGGACAACCGUUGGAAACGACGGCUAAUACCGGAUAUUAUGAGACCUUGGCAUCAAGGGCUUAUGAAAGCUAUAUGCGCUGGGGGAGAGCUUUGCGUCCUAUUAGCUAGUUGGUGAGGUAAUGGCUCACCAAGGCGACGAUAGGUAGCCGGCCUGAGAGGGUGAACGGCCACAAGGGGACUGAGACACGGCCCUUACUCC